rnacentral:rRNA from 1 species
AGUGAACGCUGGCGGUAGGCCUAACACAUGCAAGUCGAACGGCAGCGCAGUAAGAGCUUGCUCUUACGGGUGGCGAGUGGCGGACGGGUGAGGAAUACAUCGGAAUCUACUUUUUCGUGGGGGAUAACGUAGGGAAACUUACGCUAAUACCGCAUACGACCUACGGGUGAAAGCAGGGGAUCUUCGGACCUUGCGCGAUUGAAUGAGCCGAUGUCGGAUUAGCUAGUUGGCGGGGUAAAGGCCCACCAAGGCGACGAUCCGUAGCUGGUCUGAGAGGAUGAUCAGCCACACUGGAGCUGAGACACGGACCAGACUCCUACGGGAGGCAGCAGUGGGGAAUAGUGGACAAUGGGCGCAAGCCUGAUCCAGCCAUACCGCGUGGGUGGAGAAGGCCUUCGGGUUGUAAAGCCCUUUUGUUGGGAAAGAAAAGCAGCAGGUUAAUACCCCGCUGUUCUGACGGUACCCAAAGAAUAAGCACCGGCUAACUUCGUG